rnacentral:rRNA from 1 species
CCUACGGGGGGCAGCAGUGAGGAAUAUUGGUCAAUGGGCGUACGCCUGAACCAGCCAAGUCGCGUGAAGGAUGAAGGUUCUAUGGAUCGUAAACCUCUUUUAUAAGGGAAUAAAGUGCGGGACGUGUCCCGUUUUGUAUGUACCUUAUGAAUAAGGAUCGGCUAACUCCGUGCCAGCAGCCGCGGUAAUACGGAGGAUCCGAGCGUUAUCCGGAUUUAUUGGGUUUAAAGGGUGCGUAGGUGGGCUUUUAAGUCAGUGGUGAAAGUCUGUGGCUCAACCAUAGAAUUGCAGUUGAUACUGGGAGUCUUGAGUACGGUUGAGGUAGGCGGAAUUCGUGGUGUAGCGGUGAAAUGCUUAGAUAUCACGAAGAACUCCGAUUGCGAAGGCAGCUUGCCAAGCCAUGACUGACGCUGAUGCACGAAAGUGUGGGGAUCAAACAGGAUUAGAUACCCUUGUAGUC